UUAAGUUAGAAAGGGCGCACGGUGAAUGCCUUGGCACUAGGAGCCGAUGAAGGACGGGACUAACACCGAUAUGCUUCGGGGAGCUGUAAGUGAGCUUUGAUCCGGAGAUUUCCGAAUGGGGAAACCCACUGUUCGUAAUGGAACAGUAUCUUUAUCUGAAUACAUAGGAUAUUGAAGGCAGACCCGGGGAACUGAAACAUCUAAGUACCCGGAGGAAGAGAAAGCAAAUGCGAUUUCCUGAGUAGCGGCGAGCGAAACGGAAUUAGCCCAAACCAAGAGGCUUGCCUCUUGGGGUUGUAGGACACUCUAUACGGAGUUACAAAGGAACGAAGUAAAUGAAGCGACCUGGAAAGGUCCGUCGAAGAAGGUAACAACCCUGUAGUUGAAACUUCGUUCCCUCUUGAGUGGAUCCUGAGUACGGCGGAACACGUGAAAUUCCGUCGGAAGCUGGGAGGACCAUCUCCCAAGGCUAAAUACUACCUAGUGACCGAUAGUGAACCAGUACCGUGAGGGAAAGGUGAAAAGCACCCCGGAAGGGGAGUGAAAGAGAUCCUGAAACCGUGUGCCUACAAGUAGUCAGAGCCCGUUAAUGGGUGAUGGCGUGCCUUUUGUAGAAUGAACCGGCGAGUUACGAUCCCAUGCAAGGUUAAGCUGAUAAGGCGGAGCCGUAGCGAAAGCGAGUCUGAAUAGGGCGUUUAGUAUGUGGUUGUAGACCCGAAACCAGGUGAUCUACCCAUGUCCAGGGUGAAGUUCAGGUAACACUGAAUGGAGGCCCGAACCCACGCACGUUGAAAAGUGCGGGGAUGAGGUGUGGGUAGCGGAGAAAUUCCAAUCGAACCUGGAGAUAGCUGGUUCUCUCCGAAAUAGCUUUAGGGCUAGCCUCAUGUUGUGAGAGUCUUGGAGGUAGAGCACUGAUUGGACUAGGGGCCCCCAACGGGUUACCGAAUUCAGUCAAACUCCGAAUGCCAAAGACUUAUCCAUGGGAGUCAGACUGCGAGUGAUAAGAUCCGUAGUCAAAAGGGAAACAGCCCAGACCACCAGCUAAGGUCCCCAAGUAUACGUUAAGUGGAAAAGGAUGUGGAGUUGCUUAGACAACCAGGAUGUUGGCUUAGAAGCAGCCACCAUUUAAAGAGUGCGUAAUAGCUCACUGGUCGAGUGACUCUGCGCCGAAAAUGUACCGGGGCUAAACGUAUCACCGAAGCUGUGGAUUGACAUCUUUGAUGUCAGUGGUAGGAGAGCGUUCUAAGUGCUGUGAAGUCAGACCGUAAGGACUGGUGGAGCGCUUAGAAGUGAGAAUGCCGGUAUGAGUAGCGAAAGACAAGUGAGAAUCUUGUCCACCGAAUGCCUAAGGUUUCCUGAGGAAGGCUCGUCCGCUCAGGGUUAGUCGGGACCUAAGCCGAGGCUGAAAAGCGUAGGCGAUGGCCAACAGGUUGAUAUUCCUGUACCACCUCCCCGCCGUUUGAGUAAUGGGGGGACGCAGUAGGAUAGGGUAAGCGCGCUGCUGGAUAUGCGCGUUCAAGCAGUUAGGCUGAUGAGUAGGCAAAUCCGCUCAUCAUAAAGGCUGAGCUGUGAUGACGAGGGAAUUAUAGUACCGAAGUUCCUGAUUCCACACUGCCAAGAAAAGCCUCUAGCGAGGCGGGAGGUGCCCGUACCGCAAACCGACACAGGUAGGCGAGGAGAGAAUCCUAAGGUGAUCGAGAGAACUCUCGUUAAGGAACUCGGCAAAAUGACCCCGUAACUUCGGGAGAAGGGGUGCUCUGGUAGGGUGUAUAGCCCGAGAGAGCCGCAGUGAAUAGGCCCAGGCGACUGUUUAGCAAAAACACAGGUCUCUGCGAAGCCGCAAGGCGAAGUAUAGGGGCUGACGCCUGCCCGGUGCUGGAAGGUUAAGAGGAGGGGUUAUCCUUUGGGAGAAGCUCUGAAUCGAAGCCCCAGUAAACGGCGGCCGUAACUAUAACGGUCCUAAGGUAGCGAAAUUCCUUGUCGGGUAAGUUCCGACCCGCACGAAAGGCGUAACGAUCUGGGCACUGUCUCAACGAGAGACUCGGUGAAAUUAUAGUACCUGUGAAGAUGCAGGUUACCCGCGACAGGACGGAAAGACCCCGUGGAGCUUUACUGUAGCCUGAUAUUGAAUUUUGGUACAGCUUGUACAGGAUAGGUAGGAGCCUGAGAAGCCGGAGCGCUAGCUUCGGUGGAGGCGUCGGUGGGAUACUACCCUGGCUGUAUUGAAAUUCUAACCCGCGGCCCUGAUCGGGCCGGGAGACAGUGUCAGGUGGGCAGUUUGACUGGGGCGGUCGCCUCCUAAAAUGUAACGGAGGCGCCCAAAGGUUCCCUCAGAAUGGUUGGAAAUCAUUCGUAGAGUGUAAAGGCACAAGGGAGCUUGACUGCGAGACCUACAAGUCGAGCAGGGACGAAAGUCGGGCUUAGUGAUCCGGUGGUUCCGCAUGGAAGGGCCAUCGCUCAACGGAUAAAAGCUACCCCGGGGAUAACAGGCUUAUCUCCCCCAAGAGUCCACAUCGACGGGGAGGUUUGGCACCUCGAUGUCGGCUCAUCGCAUCCUGGGGCUGUAGUCGGUCCCAAGGGUUGGGCUGUUCGCCCAUUAAAGCGGUACGCGAGCUGGGUUCAGAACGUCGUGAGACAGUUCGGUCCCUAUCCGUCGUGGGCGUAGGAAAUUUGAGAGGAGCUGUCCUUAGUACGAGAGGACCGGGAUGGACACACCGCUGGUGUACCAGUUGUCUUGCCAAAGGCAUCGCUGGGUAGCUAUGUGUGGACGGGAUAAGUGCUGAAAGCAUCUAAGCAUGAAGCCCCCCUCAAGAUGAGAUUUCCCAUAGCGCAAGCUAGUAAGAUCCCUGAAAGAUGAUCAGGUUGAUAGGUCAGAGGUGGAAGCGUGGCGACAUGUGUAGCUGACUGAUACUAAUCGAUCGAGGACUUAACCAA
rnacentral:rRNA from 1 species